rnacentral:lncRNA from 1 species
UGUAAUCCCAAUUCUUUCUCCAUUUGGAACCCUAGAAAUUGAUAUCACGUGAAGGGGAAUCUCCAGUUCAACUCUGUCCAGCGCCGCACUCAUCCCCAGCUUCGCCCAUUGCCUCAGUCCACAACCCACAACCGUCGUGACAUGCAUCGAUCUUUGAGGUGACGAUAAUUACUUGGAGAACACUGUAUGUCCUUAAAUUUGUAGACACGAAGUAAGUUUCUUUCUAAUCUCAUUCAGUUUGUGAAAUCAAUAUCCUAAGUUAUUUGCAUAUUCAUAAUGGAAAUGAUACUUAGUUAUUUGCAUAUUCAUAAUGUGCAAUCGGCAUAGACAGUGGCUGCUCUCUCAGGAAUCCGAUGGGUGUGAGUGGGCUUGAAUUGGGAGAUCUUGGCUUCAAUUGGUCCAUGGUUUGAACUGUGAAAUGGGGUGCAAUUGAAUUUUGUUUGGAUAUUAUUGAUAAAACUGUACAAGAAAAUAAGAAUGCAUUUAUAAUGCAUGGACAUUAAUGGAAGUGUAGGGAAUUUACUUAAACAUGUACAGCGAAAUUUAAUAAAUUUCAAUUUUCA